rnacentral:rRNA from 1 species
GACGAACGCUGGCGGCGUGCCUAAUACAUGCAAGUCGAACGCAGUGGGGACGGGUGAGUAACACGUGGGUAACCUCCCAUCAGAGGGGAUAACACUUGGAAACAGGUGCUAAACCGAUACUGAUGGAUGGACCCGCGGUGCAUUAGCAAGUUGGUGAGGUAACGGCUCACCAAGGCCACGACGCAUAGCGGACCUACGAGGGUGAUCGGCAACACUGAGACAGGGACACGGCCAAAACUCCUACGGGAGGCAGCAGUAGGGAAUCUUCGGCAAUGGACGAAAGUCUGACCGAGCAACGCCGCAUGAGUGAAGAAGGUUUUCGGAUCGUAAAACUCUGUUGUUAGAGAGGCGGUAUCUAACCAGAAAGCCGCGACUAACUACGUGCCAGCCGCCGCGGUAAUUC